rnacentral:sRNA from 1 species
GUCACCGCAAAAUCUGUGGCACGGGCGUGGAAACCCGGUAGACUAAACGGCGCAUCGACACGCACUAGCGUGUUUUUU